AGCGUCAUUACGACCCCUAAGCCCUGCUUAGUGUUGGGGAUCCGCCUCUCGAGGCGGUCCCCUAAAGCGAGCGUGCGGAUCCGCGACGAUCUUUAAGCGUAGUAAUCAUCCUCGCUUCUAAGUAGUCGCGCCUCCGGCCGUUAAACACCCAAUUUUUAGUGGUUGACCUCGGAUCAGGUAGGAAUACCCGCUGAACUUAA
rnacentral:misc_RNA from 1 species